rnacentral:rRNA from 1 species
UUACAGAACGCCCGGGCUUCGGCCUGGUUAUUCAUAACCCUUUGUUGUCCGACUCUGUUGCCUCCGGGGCGACCCUGCCUUCGGGCGGGGGCUCCGGGUGGACACUUCAAACUCUUGCGUAACUUUGCAGUCUGAGUAAACUUAAUUAAUAAAUUAAAACUUUUAACAACGGAUCUCUUGGUUCUGGCAUCGAUGAAGAACGCAGCGAAAUGCGAUAAGUAAUGUGAAUUGCAGAAUUCAGUGAAUCAUCGAAUCUUUGAACGCACAUUGCGCCCCCUGGUAUUCCGGGGGGCAUGCCUGUUCGAGCGUCAUUUCACCACUCAAGCCUCGCUUGGUAUUGGGCAACGCGGUCCGCCGCGUGCCUCAAAUCGUCCGGCUGGGUCUUCUGUCCCCUAAGCGUUGUGGAAACUAUUCGCUAAAGGGUGUUCGGGAGGCUACGCCGUAAAACAACCCCAUUUCUAAGGUUGACCUCGGAUCAGGUAGGGAUACCCGCUGAACUUAAGCAUAUC